rnacentral:rRNA from 1 species
AUACAGAGGGUGCGAGCGUUAAUCGGAAUUACUGGGCGUAAAGCGUGCGCAGGCGGUUUUGUAAGACAGGCGUGAAAUCCCCGGGCUCAACCUGGGAAUGGCGCUUGUGACUGCAAGGCUAGAGUGCGUCAGAGGGGGGUAGAAUUCCACGUGUAGCAGUGAAAUGCGUAGAGAUGUGGAGGAAUACCGAUGGCGAAGGCAGCCCCCUGAGACGAGACUGACGCUCAUGCACGAAAGCGUGGGGAGCAAACAGGAUUAGAUACCCCAGUAGUCC